GCCAGCGGGCCCCCUUGCCGGUGGGGAGACCGGUACAGCGGAGGAACAGAAACCUGGGCGUCCGCUCCAUCAUUCUUCGCAGGCCCGGGCCAGCCUUUUAAAAGUCUAGGUAGCAGGAGUUUUAGGAGUUCCUGAAGAGGGUUUAGGACUCCUGCCUGCGUCUCUGGUGUGAGCCCUGGCUCCAGCCUUACUCGUGUUUCCCCGCGAGGACGGCUUUUCUCAGCCAUUCUUGAAGUUGGUAGGGUUUGGACCUUAUUAUUUUAUUUUCGAUGGUCCACUGUGUGUAAGCAUUGGUUGUCCUGCGCAGGGCGCCGUGCAGAGCGCCAUAAGGGAGAAGCUGGGGGAAGGAACGAGGGUUUAGAGAUGCUUGAGGUAUGGGCCUUAUCUACGUAAAGCGUUGGAGGUAAACCUAAGUGUUUCUGGAAGGGAAAAGACUCUUAGACAACACGAGGUGAAACGCAGUGAUGCGAUGAUGAGCGAAGUAUCGCCUGACCUGGUGGAGGUGACCAAUCUGGCUUCGAUACCUUCACGGAGUGCUGCGUUACUUCAGUCCUGAGUCUGGUUCAGUUCCCUUAUUGACUUAUUCAAAAUGUUUUUGUUUUUUUUUUAGUUAACUAUGUUUUUGCUUUGGUAAAACCUUGCUAUUUUCAUAUGAAGAACUUUUGCAAGUAUCCAAUAUACUCUUCUUAUGAUACAUAAAAGCGUUAAUGUUUUAAAAUCCA